UCAGCAUUGCACGGCGCGUGCCAUCAUUUCUAAGUCGCAGUUGUUGUGUCGUGUAGUGAAAAUUAAAGUUUAAUUGCUGAUGCCGCGAUCUCAUCAGAAACACAAAUCAAAGAUAGUGAAGUGCUAAAAUAAUUAAUCUGGAUCGCGAUUCUUACACGUUAUUGGUUUAACAUAAUUGACCCUCAAGAUAAAGAUCACGCCAAGAUUAAUUUUAAGCUUCGGAAGCAUAACUAUUUGAUACAAAUCGAUUUUAAUUUAAUGUUCCCUGGAAAGGAAAGGCGCAUUAGCUUCAAAAUGGGAAGCGUUUAAGAAGAAAAUACAACAGUACUAUGCGUAUAAUAUCCACAACGUGAACAGAGGGAAGCUGUUUAUGAAUUUCAAGAAUUCAGAGACUAUUGACUUUAUUUUGACUAUCCUGCUCCCCUCAAUUUUACCUCCCAAUACAUGGUACUCUUCAAAAGCAUCAAAAACCAGAACUCCCUGGAAAGUCUAGUCCUUCGAGUGAACUCCAUUGCCGACUAUCGCCAAAGGAUUGCAGAAUCUGUCGGUAAAAACUAUUCGAAUUUAAAAACAGUUCAACCAACCGUGUAUGUUUGUAAAAAGCCACAAAGCAAAUAAAAACAUGUACA